AACUAAACCUGACUAACUAAACCA
rnacentral:siRNA from 1 species